rnacentral:rRNA from 1 species
UGGGUUUUGGCAUGGGCGCAAGCCUGAUCAGCCUGCCGCGUGUGUGAAGAAGGCCUUUUGGUUGUAAAGCACUUUAAGCGGGGAGGAGGCUACUUGGAUUAAUACUCUAGGAUAGUGGACGUUACUCGCAGAAUAAGCACCGGCUAACUCUGUGCCAGCAGCCGCGGUAAUACAGAGGGUGCGAGCGUUAAUCGGAUUUACUGGGCGUAAAGCGUGCGUAGGCGGCUUCUUAAGUCGGAUGUGAAAUCCCUGAGCUUAACUUAGGAAUUGCAUUCGAUACUGGGAAGCUAGAGUAUGGGAGAGGAUGGUAGAAUUCCAGGUGUAGCGGUGAAAUGCGUAGAGAUCUGGAGGAAUACCGAUGGCGAAGGCAGCCAUCUGGCCUAAUACUGACGCUGAGGUACGAAAGCAU